rnacentral:rRNA from 1 species
UACGUAGGGGGCAAGCGUUGUCCGGAUUUAUUGGGCGUAAAGCGCUCGCAGGUGGUCCGAUGCGUCGUGCGUGAAAGCCCCCGGCUCAACUGGGGAGGGUCAUUCGAUACUGAUCGACUGGAAGGCAGGAGAGGGAAGCGGAAUUCCCGGUGUAGUGGUGAAAUGCGUAGAUAUCGGGAGGAACACCAGUGGCGAAGGCGGCUUCCUGGCCUGUUCUUGACGCUGAGGCGCGAAAGCUAGGGGAGCAAACGGG